rnacentral:rRNA from 1 species
GACAGAGGGUGCAAACGUUGUUCGGAAUUACUGGGCGUAAAGCGCGUGUAGGCAGCCGUGCAAGUCGGGUGUGAAAGCCCUGGGCUCAACCUAGGAAGUGCGCUCGAAACUGCAAGGCUGGAGUCCUGGAGAGGAAGGCGGAAUUCUCGGUGUAGAGGUGAAAUUCGUAGAUAUCGAGAGGAACACCGGUGGCGAAGGCGGCCUUCUGGACAGUGACUGACGCUGAGACGCGAAAGCGUGGGGAGCAAACAGG